rnacentral:rRNA from 1 species
AUUGAACGCUGGCGGCAUGCUUUACACAUGCAAGUCGAACGGUAACAGGUUAAGCUGACGAGUGGCGAACGGGUGAGUAAUGCAUCGGAACGUGCCCGGUCGUGGGGGAUAACGCAGCGAAAGCUGCGCUAAUACCGCAUACGAUCUGAGGAUGAAAGCGGGGGACCGUAAGGCCUCGCGCGAUCGGAGCGGCCGAUGUCAGAUUAGGUAGUUGGUGGGGUAAAGGCUCACCAAGCCGACGAUCUGUAGCUGGUCUGAGAUGACGACCAGCCAGACUGGUACUGAGACACGGCCCAGACUCCUACGGGAGGCAGCAGUGGGGAAUUUUGGACAAUGGGCGCAAGCCUGAUACAGCAAUGCCGCGUGCAGGAAGAAGGACUUCGGGUUGUAAACUGCUUUUGUACGGAGCGAAAAGGCUCUCUCUAAUACAGGGGGCUCAUGACGGUACCGUAAGAAUAAGCACCGGCUAACUACGUGCCAGCAGCCGCCGUAA